rnacentral:rRNA from 1 species
UACGAAGGGGGCUAGCGUUGCUCGGAAUCACUGGGCGUAAAGGGUGCGUAGGCGGGUCUUUAAGUCAGGGGUGAAAUCCUGGAGCUCAACUCCAGAACUGCCUUUGAUACUGGCGAUCUCGAGUCCGGGAGAGGUGAGUGGAACUGCGAGUGUAGAGGUGGAAUUCGUAGAUAUUCGCAAGAACACCAGUGGCGAAGGCGGCUCACUGGCCCGGUACUGACGCUGAGGUGCGAAAGCGUGGGGAGCAAACAGG